rnacentral:rRNA from 1 species
UACGGGGGGGGCAAGCGUUGUUCGGAAUUACUGGGCGUAAAGGGCGCGUAGGCGGUUGGAUAAGUCAGCUGUGAAAAACCACGAGCUCAACUUGUGGCCUGCAGUUGAAAACUGUCUGGCUAGAGUGUGGGAGAGGGAAGUGGAAUUCCUGGUGUAGCGGUGAAAUGCGUAGAUAUCAGGAGGAACACCGGUGGCGAAGGCGGCUUCCUGGACCACAACUGACGCUGAGGCGCGAAAAGCUAGGGGGAGCAAAACAGG